rnacentral:rRNA from 1 species
CAUUACCGAGUUUACAACUCCCAAACCCAAUGUGAACGUUACCAAACUGUUGCCUCGGCGGGAUCUCUGCCCCGGGUGCGUCGCAGCCCCGGACCAAGGCGCCCGCCGGAGGACCAACCAAAACUCUUUUUGUAUACCCCCUCGCGGGUUUUUUUUAUAAUCUGAGCCUUCUCGGCGCCUCUCGUAGGCGUUUCGAAAAUGAAUCAAAACUUUCAACAACGGAUCUCUUGGUUCUGGCAUCGAUGAAGAACGCAGCGAAAUGCGAUAAGUAAUGUGAAUUGCAGAAUUCAGUGAAUCAUCGAAUCUUUGAACGCACAUUGCGCCCGCCAGUAUUCUGGCGGGCAUGCCUGUCCGAGCGUCAUUUCAACCCUCGAACCCCUCCGGGGGGUCGGCGUUGGGGAUCGGCCCUGCCUCUUGGCGGUGGCCGUCUCCGAAAUACAGUGGCGGUCUCGCCGCAGCCUCUCCUGCGCAGUAGUUUGCACACUCGCAUCGGGAGCGCGGCGCGUCCACAGCCGUUAAACACCCAACUUCUGAAAUGUUGACCUCGGAUCAGGUAGGAAUACCCGCUGAACUUAAGCAUAU